rnacentral:rRNA from 1 species
AUUGAACGCUGGCGGCAGGCCUAACACGUGCAAGUCGAGCGGAUGAAGGGAGCUUGCUCCUGGAUUCAGCGGCGGACGGGUGAGUAAUGCCUAGGAAUCUGCCUGGUAGUGGGGGAUAACGUCCGGAAACGGGCGCUAAUACCGCAUACGUCCUGAGGGAGAAAGUGGGGGAUCUUCGGACCUCACGCUAUCAGAUGAGCCUAGGUCGGAUUAGCUAGUUGGUGGGGUAAAGGCCUACCAAGGCGACGAUCCGUAACUGGCCUGAGAGGAUGAUCAGUCACACUGGAACUGAGACACGGUCCAGACUCCUACGGGAGGCAGCAGUGGGGAAUAUUGGACAAUGGGCGAAAGCCUGAUCCAGCCAUGCCGCGUGUGUGAAGAAGGUCUUCGGAUUGUAAAGCACUUUAAGUUGGGAGGAAGGGCAGUAAGUUAAUACCUUGCUGUUUUGACGUUACCAACAGAAUAAGCACCGGCUAACUUCGUG